UAAAGCUUACAAAUACAACGUCUCCCCUAUGUCAUGGCCUUAUUGGGGGUAUCUUUGCUUUUAUGGAUCUUGUAUACACUAGUUUGUCAAAACUCUACUUGUCAUCUUGUUUCAAUUCAAACCCACUAACCCCAUGUGAUCAACCCCGUAAUCUUUCCCUCUAACUUCCCUUGCAUGCCUCUUUUACAAUAAGACCAAGGACAGAGACACAGACAGACAGCGCCGUAGGCUUUCCUUGGCAGCGACAAGACACUAGAUAGAUGGAUGGAUGGAUGGACAGAAAGACAGAGAGAGAAAGAGAUUAACUUUUGCCUCGGUUACUGGUUCUACACGACCAACACUUGUUGCUUUCCAGAAGUUUUAACUGGUCCAAAACACACCCAGCUUCUAGCGUACACCCCCUUGGCCUUGUGUGUGUUCCAAGCUUUAAGUUAACCCUUUAUUUUAUUGUUUUGAACUCCCUAUAUAAUUCCUUUACUGUGACCCCACAGUUCAUAUCUGAGUGGCCUGCUUGUUUGAAAAAUGGGAGUGAUUGGGUUGUGUUUGUGUGGGAAGAGGAAGCUUAGGAGCUUGUUUUGGAGGGUUAGAGCUGAGAUAAGGAGACAAGUGAAGGGUAGGACAUCCAAGCAGAAGUUUAGCUUCCACUAUGAUCCCUUCAGUUAUGCUCUCAACUUCGACAAUGUGUGAAAAGAGAUACCGUCGAAAAGGAGAAGGCAAUGCAAAUGGAGAUUUGGGUUUCGAUGUUUGAAUGUUAUGAAUUUGUGUAGAUUAAUGGCAUGCAAAGCUGAGUUUCUUUCAACGUCAAGCGGGUAGCUUUUGUUUAUGAGAAAUGUGUUAAAACUUGUUUUUAAUUCAGUGUUGACAGUUCUCUGACCGUAUCUCAGCUGGGGUUUUCCUCUUGUGGAUUUAUUUCUUCCAGCACCACAACUUCACUGCACUACUAUAAAUGCUCCAGCACCAGCACUAAUGUCUCAUCCGUUCGUUUUGUCUUGUAAUAUAACACCGUUUUACUUCGCCAUUGAAUAGGUUAGGGUCUGGGGUAUGAGCCAUCGGUUUUCAUUUGGAACACCCCUCCCUCCUUCACAGUUCACACUGCAUAUAUUUCUCUUUCGAAUCUUGUUUAAUUGGACCAUUAUUUCUUUCCCA